rnacentral:rRNA from 2 species
UACGAAGGGGGCUAGCGUUGUUCGGAAUCACUGGGCGUAAAGCGCACGUAGGCGGAUUUUUAAGUCAGGGGUGAAAUCCCGGGGCUCAACCUCGGAACUGCCUUUGAUACUGGAGAUCUUGAGUCCGGAAGAGGUAAGUGGAACUGCGAGUGUAGAGGUGAAAUUCGUAGAUAUUCGCAAGAACACCAGUGGCGAAGGCGGCUUACUGGUCCGGAACUGACGCUGAGGUGCGAAAGCGUGGGGAGCAAACAGG